GACAGAGGGUGCAAACGUUGUUCGGAAUUACUGGGCGUAAAGCGCAUGUAGGCGGCCAAGCAGGUCGGAUGUGAAAUCCCUCGGCUCAACCAAGGAAGUGCAUUCGAAACCGCAUGGCUGGAGUCCCGGAGAGGGUAGUGGAAUUCUCGGUGUAGAGGUGAAAUUCGUAGAUAUCGAGAGGAACACCGGCGGCGAAAGCGGCUACCUGGACGAGGACUGACGCUGAGAUGCGAAAGCGUGGGGAGCAAACAGG
rnacentral:rRNA from 1 species